AUAUUACUUCCUCCGUUCCGAAUUACUUGUCGCACGUAUGGAUGUAUCUAGAUGUAUUUUAGUUCUAGAUACAUCCAUUUCAGCGACGAGUAAUUUGAAACGGAGGGAGUAUAUA
rnacentral:pre_miRNA from 1 species